AUUGAACGCUGGCGGCAUGCUUUACACAUGCAAGUCGAACGGGGUGAGGGGGCAACUCCUCAUCUAGUGGCGAACGGGUGAGUAAUACAUCGGAACGUGUCCCGUAGUGGGGGAUAACCCGGCGAAAGCCGGACUAAUACCGCAUAUGCUCUACGGAGGAAAGUGGGGGAUCCGCAAGGACCUCACGCUAUGGGAGCGGC
rnacentral:rRNA from 1 species